AUCUUCCGCAAUGGACGCAAGUCUGACGGAGCAACGCCGCGUUAGUGAUGAAGGUUUUCGGAUCGUAAAACUCUGUUGUGAGAGAAGAACAAGUAUCGUUCGAAUAGGUCGGUACCUUGACGUUACCUAACCAGAAAGCCACGGCUAACUACGUGCCAGCAGCCGCGGUAAUACGUAGGUGGCAAGCGUUAUCCGGAAUUAUUGGGCGUAAAGCGAGCGCAGGCGGUUUCUUAAGUCUGAUGCAAAAGCCCACGGCUCAACCGUGGAGGGUCAUUGGAAACUGGGGAACUUGAGUGCAGAAGAGGAGAGUGGAAUUCCAUGUGUAGCGGUGAAAUGCGUAGAGAUAUGGAGGAACACCAGUGGCGAAGGCGACUCUCUGGUCUGCAACUGACGCUGAGGCGCGAAAGCGUGGGGAGCAAACA
rnacentral:rRNA from 1 species